ACGCUAGCUACAGGCUUAACACAUGCAAGUCGAGGGGUAGCAGGGUAGCAAUACCGCUGACGACCGGCGCACGGGUGAGUAACACGUAUCCAACCUUCCCAUAACUCAGGGAUAGCCUUUCGAAAGAAAGAUUAAUACCUGAUAGUACUUAAGAAAGGCAUCUUUUUUAAGUUAAAGAUUUAUUGGUUAUGGAUGGGGAUGCGUUCCAUUAGAUAGUUGGUGAGGUAACGGCUCACCAAGUCUUCGAUGGAUAGGGGUUCUGAGAGGAAGGUCCCCCACAUUGGUACUGGGACACGGACCAAACUCCUACGGGAGGCAGCAGUGAGGAAUAUUGGUCAAUGGGCGAGAGCCUGAACCAGCCAAGUAGCGUGAAGGAUGACGG
rnacentral:rRNA from 1 species